rnacentral:tRNA from 1 species
CUUUCUAGUAUCCAAAUAGUACAAGUGACUUCCAAUCACUCAGUCUUGGUUAGAGUCCAAGGAAAGAUA